rnacentral:rRNA from 1 species
UAUAUGUUUUUUUUUUAUAUGUUAGUAUUGCAUACUAUGUUAGGAUUAUUUUAAAUUUUUAAAAAAUAGAAACAAGAUGUUUAAAUCACAAUUUGUUUUUUUGUUACAAAAAUAAUUUUAUUGUGUUUAGUGUUAAUAUAUCGAAUCUUGUUAUAUCUGUUUUAUUUUAAUAUAUUAGAAAAUUAUAUAUUAUUUUUUUUUUCUAGAUCUUAAUAAUUUGAAGUUUUUUUGUUUUAGGUUUUAUAACUUAAUCUUUUUUUUUUCUUGUUUUUUUUUUUAUUAUUAUAAAUUUUUAUAAUUUUUAUUAUCUAACAAUUAGUAAAUUUUAAAAUUAUGUAUUUUUUUUUAAUAUAAAUUAGAUUACUAAUUAUCCGAUCAAAUGUUUAUUAAAGACUUAGGAUUUAUGUUAAAUCUUUCUUCUGCCCUAUGGAUUUCUAAAUGGCAGUCUUAGCGUGAGGACAUUAAAGUAGCAAAAUAAUUUGUGCUUUUAUUGGGUUCGAGUAUGAAUGAAGUUUUGGUUGGUGUUAUUCUUUUUUUUUUUUGAAUUUAAUAUAUAUCUAAGAAAAGAUAUUUAUAAUAAUACAAAGAUAAGUCUUCGGAAAUUUUUUUUUUAUGUAUUUUUUUUUUUAUAUAAAAAUUUAUCUAGGGAAGAUUAUUAUAUAAUUUUUUUUCACUAUUUUUAAUAAAGGAAAUUACUCCGGAGUUAACAGAAAAACAUGCCUUAUGUAGUUCUUAUAUUUUGGUAAGUUUUACAUCGAUGUUGUAUCUUUAUUUGCUGAAGAGUAGAAAAUUCAGUUUUUCAGACUGUUCUUCUAUUAAUAAAUAAAACGUGAUAUUAGUUUAAUUCAUCGUGAGAUAGAAUUGUUUAUCUUGAUUAUUAUUUUUUUUUAUUUGGAUUAGUACGAAAGGAAUUUUAUUAUAAUUUUAAAUUUUUUAUUUU